rnacentral:rRNA from 1 species
AUUGAACGCUGGCGGAAUGCUUUACACAUGCAAGUCGAACGGCAGCACGGACUUCGGUCUGGUGGCGAGUGGCGAACGGGUGAGUAAUGUAUCGGAACGUGCCCAGUCGUGGGGGAUAACGUAGUGAAAAUCACGCUAAUACCGCAUACGAUCUAUGGAUGAAAGCGGGGGAUCGCAAGACCUCGCGCGAUUGGAGCGGCCGAUAUCAGAUUAGGUAGUUGGUGGGGUAAAGGCCCACCAAGCCAACGAUCUGUAGCUGGUCUGAGAGGACGAGCAGCCUCACUGGAACUGAGACACGGUCCAGACUCCUACGGGAGGCAGCAGUGGGGAAUUUUGGACAAUGGGCGAAAGCCUGAUCCAGCCAUUCCGCGUGCAGGAUGAAGGCCCUCGGGUUGUAAACUGCUUUUGUACAGAACGAAAAGGUUUCUACUAAUACUAGGAGCUCAUGACGGUACUGUAAGAAUAAGCACCGGCUAACUACGUGCCAGCCGCCGCAGUAA